UACAGCUAUAUCACGUUGAAAUACCGGUUUCUGUACGAUCAUCGAAGUUAAGUAGAGUCGAGCGUGGUCAGUACCUAGAUUGGGGACCACUUGUAAAUAGCAGGUGCCGUAUG